rnacentral:tRNA from 1 species
AGAUCCGAUAGGGGACU